rnacentral:rRNA from 1 species
AUUGAACGCUGGCGGCAGGCCUAACACAUGCAAGUCGAGCGGUAGCACUGAGAGCUUGCUCUCGGGUGACGAGCGGCGGACGGGUGAGUAAUGUCUGGGAAACUGCCUGAUGGAGGGGGAUAACUACUGGAAACGGUAGCUAAUACCGCAUAACGUCGCAAGACCAAAGUGGGGGACCUUCGGGCCUCAUGCCAUCAGAUGUGCCCAGAUGGGAUUAGCUGGUAGGUGGGGUAACGGCUCACCUAGGCGACGAUCCCUAGCUGAUCUGAGAGGAUGACCAGCCACACUGGAACUGAGACACGGUCCAGACUCCUACGGGAGGCAGCAGUGGGGAAUAUUGCACAAUGGGCGCAAGCCUGAUGCAGCCAUGCCGCGUGUGUGAAGAAGGCCUUCGGGUUGUAAAGCACUUUCAGCGGGGAGGAAGGCAUUAAGGUUAAUAACCUUAGUGAUUGACGUUACCCGCAGAAGAAGCACCGGCUAACUCCGUGCCAGCCGCCGCAGUAA